rnacentral:sRNA from 1 species
CGGUGAAUGGAACUUAUUCUAAUUCUUAGUUACCUUAGUCUUAGUGCUGGCAGUCCAUUUUUAAAGAAACAAUUAACUGUUCGAUUCAUCCCCGAGACUGAAGACGAGAUAGUUGACAAGGAUCAUCCCGAAUCAAGUACUCUUAUAUCAGGAAAAGAAAUGCUUGCAAGAAAAACUACAAAACAGAUCAAAAGGAAAAAGACAACAGUUCGAAAAUCAGAAAAGUCUUUGGAUUAAAGUUCUCAUAAUCUACGACUUGUAGUGCUGUAUGAUUAGAAGAGUCUCAUCUGCUCGUAACAAGUGGCGCCCAACGUAAAGGUAAAACGGACGUAUUAAUCUUUUCAUAAUUGUUCUGUCAACGGACUUCGUGACGCUCAAAUCUAGAUCUAGUGACAGUAUAAAGUUCCCCUUUC